rnacentral:rRNA from 1 species
AGCGAACGCUGGCGGCAGGCCUAACACAUGCAAGUCGAACGAAGUCUUCGGACUUAGUGGCGGACGGGUGAGUAACACGUGGGAACGUGCCUUUAGGUUCGGAAUAACUCAGGGAAACUUGUGCUAAUACCGAAUGUGCCCUUAGGGGGAAGGAUUUAUCGCCUUUAGAGCGGCCCGCGACUGAUUAGCUAGUUGUUGAGGUAAAGGCUCACCAAGGCGACGAUCAGUAGCUGGUCUGAGAGGAUGAUCAGCCACAUUGGGACUGAGACGCGGCCCAAACUCCUACGGGAGGCAGCAGUGGGGAAUCUUGCGCAAUGGGCGAAAGCCUGACGCAGCCAUGCCGCGUGAAUGAUGAAGGUCUUAGGAUUGUAAAAUUCUUUCACCGGGGACGAUAAUGACGGUACCCGGAGAAGAAGCCCCGGCUAACUUCGUGCCAGCAGCCGCAGUAA